rnacentral:rRNA from 1 species
UUCUAUUUACUCGAAGUUAAUUAUUUGGUGAAAAAGCUAAAAUUUCCUUAGAGGACGAUAAGACCCUAUAGAUCUUUAUAAAAUUAUGUUAGAUUUUUAGAUGUUAUCAAUCUGAUGGACCUUUUAUUCCGUUGGGGCGACGUUGAGGGUUGAUCUAUCUCUCAAAAUGAUACAACAUAGAUAAAUGAUUUUUGAUCCUUUAGUGAAUUGGGUUAAAGUUACCUUAGGGAUAACAGCGUAAUUUUUCUUGAGAGUUCUUAUCG